rnacentral:rRNA from 1 species
UGCAGAGGGUGCGAGCGUUGUCCGGAAUCACUGGGCGUAAAGGGCGCGUAGGCGGCCUGAUAAGUCGGGGGUGAAAUCCUGUGGCUUAACCACAGGGCUGCCUCCGAGACUGUCGGGCUCGAGCACAGUAGAGGCAGGUGGAAUUCCCGGUGUAGCGGUGGAAUGCGUAGAGAUCGGGAAGAACAUCGGUGGCGAAGGCGGCCUGCUGGGCUGUUGCUGACGCUGAGGCGCGACAGCGUGGGGAGCAAACAGG